CCUACAUGAAGUCGGAAUCGCUAGUAAUCGCGGAUCAGCACGCCGCGGUGAAUACGUUCCCGGGCCUUGUACACACCGCCCGUCACACCACGAGAGUUUGUAACACCCGAAGUCGGUGAGGUAACCGUAAGGAGCCAGCCGCCUAAGGUGGGAUAGAUGAUUGGGGUGAAGUCGUAACAAGGUAGCCGUAUCGGAAGGUGCGGCUGGAUCACCUCCUUU
rnacentral:rRNA from 1 species